GUGGGAUGAAAAGUUCCCCCGGAGGUAUGCGGGCCCCCCGACCGCCCCCCCGCCUUUGUCCCACGGGCCCGGCGCACCCCCCGCCCCUUCCCCGCUCCGAGGGGGGAGAGGGCGCAGGGGGUGGCCCGGGGGGGUGGCCCGGGGGGUGUCCCGGGGGGCGGCGGGCGCUACCCCCUCCCACACUGUGUUUUCUCUUUAAUUCCAGGUGCGGCCGAGCUGUGACCCGCGGGAGGGACGGGGGGCAGGACCGGACCCGGCCGGGGGAGGGUAAUGCGUGGAGAAGCAGCGUCGCUUAUACAAGAUGUUGAUGGAAUUUACUAUAUUAUUAAAGGAAAAAAAAAAUCCCCUUUCAAGAAUAAAGUGUAUCAACUUACAACACAACAGACGGCAGAGGGAUAAGUGAAACAGACAAAAGACAAACAAGAUAAUAAUCUGUUUCCAAUCAGUUAAGCCCUGUAGAAUUUGUAAUACGCGGUUUGCAUAUUCCCCCUGUGUUUUGUAAUUAAUUAUCUAUCUGUUCGGAUGCUCCGCCGCCGACUUUGUGGAUAUUUCCAACUAUUUUGGGGGUUGUAGGCGGCGACCUACGCGGUGAAAAGGAGCGCGGAGGAGCGCGGAGCGGGGCCGGGCUCCGCGGCUCUGCCCGGCCCGAGGAUGCCGAGCCCGGGCGCGGUGGGAGGCGGCGGCUCCGCGCCACUCCGCGCUCCUCCGGCGGGCGAGGCUGCUCCCCCCGCGCUCCCCUCCUUUCCCCCGGUAAGAGGGGGGACGGGGCAGGUUUUAACAUUAAACAAACCCAGCAAGCA